UUCCUGACUUCUGCGGGGGACUUCCCUCUUCCAUAUGCCUUCUCUGUGGGCAUCUGGUGAGUCUGACUCAGAUUUCAGGUAGGCGCGGCUGCACCUGCCGACUCAACACAGACUGUGUAGGCAGGCCCCGGAUGACACUGUCUGUGGGAGACCCCCAGGUCUAUUUCUAAGCAGUGUGCUCCAUCCCAGCUUCCCACACCCGGUGGCUCCAUGGCAGUUCUGGAGCAGCCACUGUCUCUCAGGGAGCCGGGAAUCCAGGAUGCCCGCUCUGCAGGCUGAGUGCUGUCUGCCUGGUUCACUGACUCCAUACCCAGGACCCACAGCCAGCCGUGGUCGGGUGAUGCCCUCCACAUUCCAAUACCUGGAAGCAGCAAUUCCUGUGAGCACUGUGCCUUUUAUGGUAAGACUUUAGGGAAAUAACAGCAGAAUGAGCAGAGAAUGAUGGCACCCCCUUCCACAUGCUUUUUACUGAAUGUGGACUGGAACGUGGGGGGCCCUGCUGGCCUCCAUUUUGCAGGCCUCUGGUGGGAGCCUCUGAGAAGAAUUGGUCAACAACAACAACAAGAAAGUAUGUUUUGAAGUUGGAUUCUCUUGUGCUGUGCAGCCUCCUCCUCUGGACUUAAAAAUGGCCAUACUGGUAUCAGCCAUCGGUCUGCGAAGGGCUAAAGGUCCGGGGCACCUGCUGAGUGUGGCUGUACACCAAGUCCUCUCUCAACUCGCUCUUAGGACAAAUGCUGGUGCUUCUCAGGCUGGAUCUGACUGGCUUCUGGCUUUCACAGAACCGGAAUAAGCCGGAAUGAGCCGGAAUGGCCUCUAGAGAUGCUCUGAGGUCGGCAGGCCAGACCAUUCCUCCUGGAGCCUCUGCUUCACCGAAUUCUGAUGGAUCCCUGCCCACUCUGCUUGGCCUGUGCCCCUCCUGGCACCAUCUGCCUGAGCCUGGGCUGGCGCUCUGUCAGCCUUUGCAACACAGCUAUGAGACUUGGAAAGCUGGAGUUUGGUUUAGCAGAGAAAUGCAUUUGAAAUCUUCCCUCUAGGCCCCCCUCUUUCUGUUCCCCCUCCUCACCUCCCUCCAGGACCAAUUUAUCUGCCAGUCCAGCCUCCAAGAGGAGCUGGGGCCAAGUUGGAGACCUGCUUAUGCUUGUCAGCCUCUGUGGCCAGAUGACAAGAGAGCAGCCCACAGCUGGGAGAGGACUGGGAAGUCCCCGUGUGCAGAGCGUGCUUAACAGGGGGGCGGGCAGGUCAGAAGCUUCCCCCUGGCUGCAAAGGAGGUGUGGAGGACAGCUCCCUGGAGUUCCAUUCUUGGCCUCUUUGCACCUGCGCACAGUCCCUGGUGGUGCUGCACCCUCACAAGGGCUCCACGCCUAUUUCUAGCUCCUGCCUUCUCUGCAGAGUUCCAGGCCUGUGUUUGGCUCUAUCUACUUGGAAGACUCACAGGUUCUUCAAAACCAACCAACGUGAAGCCAGUUUGUCCUGACUUUUACCCCAAACCUGAUGACUGCUUCAUCCCCUGUCUUGAGAAGUCUCCACUGCCCACCCAUUGUCUAAACCAGCAUUAAAGUGGAGAUGACAGAGUCCCUCCUGGAGAGCCGGUCUAGCCAUUCAGUGAGUCAGCAGCACAGCUCCUCCAGCACGCAGAGAACAGCGGUCCAUGGAGGGAGGGCGUGAGCCUGGGGUUUUACUGAGGAAGGAUAGUGGGUUUUUCAGUCCCUGAAGCUGCUGCUCUGCCCACUCAGGAAGGUGAGGAAGGCAGACGACAGCGUACAUCCAGCCUCUGCUCUGCCAGGGUCGUUGAUGCCCUUUGGAAUGGAGAGCUGUGAAGGGGAAUGCCUAGGCCUCACAGAGGAGGCUCGUGACCCGGACAGGUGUGGGACUAGGGGCCAUGUCUGUAGCUCCCCUGCCACGGAGCAGAAUCUGCCUCUCCAUAAGCGUUAAGCUCUGGGGACUGUGACAUCCACGCUGGGCCUGGCUCCUGCCUUCCGCCUCCUGCCCAGCCCCUGCCAGCAGCACAUGGUGGAGACCGGUUGCCCAAAGCUCUUGUUCUCAGAUGUGGGCAGAACGGGAAUCUGCCAUGUGCCCGUGGAUUAAAAAAAAGAAACCCAGGCUGCUUUUCUGUCUGUUAGAAGGAGCCUGCACUUCAAGAUAGUGGGGAUGUAUAUUUUAAAAAAUUUCACGCUCAUGGGCCAAAGAUUUUCCCGGGGCUGUGUGCUGAUUUGCAGCCUAUCAUGUGUGGCUUUGGGACACUGGGGAAGGUGUGGAGCAGUUUAAGUGACAAACGGGUUGGAAAAGCAAAGGACACCAGGUGAGGAUGAUGGAAUUUACAUCCUGUUGCUUCCCUGAUAGUUCCUGCCAAUAUGGGAUCCCACUACUAUCUUUCUGCCCUAAAAAUAUGUGUAUAUUGAGAUAGAAACUGUUGUAAUGGCUGCAUGCAUUCAGUAGAGGAAAGGAGAGAAGAAAGAAGGAACAGAUUUAGUCCUGCCCAGAAUCUGCACUUCCACGGAGGACGCCAGGAUAUCACGGGAGAGACUGCAGCUCUGAUCAAAUGGGGCGAGCUCUUGGCAGGAGCCAGCAUGUUCCUGUGUUCCAUUUGGGAGGACAGUUUACUUUAAUGAUGUACUUUGAAAUCAGGUGGACGUCUGUAACUCCUGGACCUUUCGCAGCCUUUCCAGCCACGGUCAUCUCUGUGGAGUCAGGGGCAGGGACUUUGGGAUCAGCUUCUGCCCUUGUGAAAACAGCAGAGCAGCCUGAGAGCCAGGAAGGACCUCACCUGAGUAUCAGAUCACCUCAUCAGGCUGAAUUGUGUGGAUCUAGGGAUUUUAAAGAGGUGAUUAAGGUAAAAUGAGGUUAUUAGGGUGGCCCUUGACCCAGUGUGACUGGUAUCCUCAUAAGAGGAGAUUAGGACACAGCCACACAGAGGGACGACCACCUGAGGAUCCCUGAGAAGAUGGCAUCUGGAAGGUGAGGAGAGAGGCCUCAGAAGGAAUCAACUCUGCUGAUACUUGAUGCCAACUUCCAGCCUCUGAAACUGCGAGCAAGGUGGUUUGUUAUUCAGCAAUGGAUAAUUAGAGCACUGACUCACCUUGAUGGGCCUCAUCAUCAUUCAUCCAGAAAUCUUUUAUUGAGAAAAAUAAUAUUUGCCAUGUUGUGCAAGGAGUUGGGGUUGCAAAGCUGGGUGCUGUGAUCUAUAACACAAGGCAGCAGGAUUGUCUGACCUCCGAGAGCCAUGUGCCCUGGGAUCAUCUGGCCACAGUUAUCUCACAGAAUUCCUAAUGCACAGUCUGUGUGGGAGGUGAUGCCGGAGUCCCCCCUCCCUCUGGGCUCCUCCCCGUGCUCUGCUCACAUCACUGGGGGGUUGGCGGCAGCCUGCUGAGUCCUUUCGACCCUCAGCCCGCUCUCCAGCACUCAGACUGGCCGAAACCUGUGCCGCUGGCUCCACCCUCAGGUCUCCCCACUCCUCUCAUUAGCCACCGGCCUUCUCAGCCUUCUCUUAUUCUUGUGACUCUUGCCUGACCCUGCCUCAGCUCUGUGUCCUCCCAGACUGCUGACUGUGAGGCUUUGCCCAGCGGAUUUUCCAUCGCCAAAUUAGAGCUUUUCUUUCCUCGCCUGACUGCUCCCUGUCACUGUCUUCUGUAUCUUCCUGUUCCUGAUUUUGGCUGGCUAUCAAGAGAAGAAGAUCUACAAUCAUCCUAUCUCUCAUGGCACCUUACCAUGUGCAACUCCCUCGUAUCUAAUACCUCACUUCACCUUUUCUGUUCUUCUAUUUAUGAGCUACGUGAUGUCAGACAAGGCACUUAACUACUCUGGGCUUUGGCUCCCUUAUUUAACGAUAGGUAUCAUAAUAAUACCUGUCCUGUCCAAUUUACAGUUUGUCUGACAGUUAUUCAUUUAACAAACAUGCAUUGGGUUCCUACUGAGUGCUGGGUGAUGUAUCCAGCAUUGCUAAGACAACGGCCGUGAGAACAGCAAGCAUGCCUGGGUUUUGCAUUCUAGUGGGACGUCUUAAUCUAUUUUCUGCUAAAACAUAAUACCACAAACUAGGCAGUUGAUGAAGAAGAUACAUUUACUUCUUGCAGUUGAAGAGGCUGGGAAGUCCAAGGGCAUGGCACUGGCAUCUGGGUCAUCCCAUGGUGGAAGGUGGAAGGUGGAAGGGCAGGGACUAAGAAGAGCACCAGGUGCCAGACUCACUUUGUAACAACCCACUGUCAUAAUAACUAACCUGACCUCACAACCCAGUCACCUCCCAACAAAGUUGCAUUGGGAUUGAAUUUAUAACACAAGAACUUUUGGGGGGCAAAUUCAAGCCAGGCAUGGGGGUUAGUGUAAAUAAAUGAAUAGUGCAUACUAACUGAUUGAGGCCAUUGUUAACAAAAAUGAAAAAACAAGGGUGGGUUUGGGGAGUGGUGGCGGGGUGAACAGGCCUCUGGAGUGGCACAUACGGGGAAAACCUCUGUGCAGGCAGAGACCUGGGCUGCUGAGAAGGGGCCGGACUUGGAGAUCUGGGAAAAAGCAUCUCAGUUGAGGGAGAAAUGGAGCAAGCCUGGAGCCCUGAAGAGCCUGAGGACUUUGAGACCAGGGAGCAGGUACUGGUCAUGGGGCAUGGGAGACUGGCUCAGGCAGGACCAGGCAGGGUCUCUGUCCCUGGUAAAGAAUGUGGGUAUUAUUUUGAGUGACAGGAGUGGCAUACUCAGAUCUGCUUUGGGAUGAUCCUUCCUGCUGCUGUGUGAAUGCUGCAGCCAGAAAUGGUGCUGGGGGUGUUAUUAGGAUGCUGCCAUGACCCAUUCAGAGAUGAUCGUGGCUGGACCACAGUGGGGAGAAGAGGGGGAUCAUCAUAACCUGUUCCUGGAAGCCCUGCUGGGCGUGAGGGGAGUGGAGGAAUUAAGAAUGGCUCCCACCACUUGAUAAAUGGAGAAACCCAAAGCAGUCGUGUGGUUUUUGAGGUGUGGGGGAAGUGAAGGACUCCUCUUUGUAUAACGUGUGAGCUUCCUGACAUGUCUUCAUGGGAAUAGAAGGUUGGCCUUGGGAUGUUUGCAUCUGGAGCUCAGAAGAACAAUACUAACCUGGAGAAACAUGGGUGCCAUUUGCUUAGGGUGUUGUUAGAAUGCAUAGAGGAUGAGCAUAAUUUGGGGAGUGGUGACAAGCACCCAUGGAUGCCCCACACUACUUCUCAGAGCCCUCAUCCUGGGCUCCAUGUCCUAUGGAUGCCAUAACAGAUGUCCACAGACUUGAUGGCUUAAAAUAGUCAAAAUUUGUUCUUUACAGUAAUGGAGGCUGAAAGUCCAAAAUCAGUUUCAGGGGGCAAAAUCCAAAGAACCUGCUGAGCUGUGCUCUCCCGGAAGGCUCUAGGAAAGAGACCUUCCUGCCUCUUCUAGCUUCUGGGGGCUCCUGGUGUCCUUGGUGCCACAUGACCUAAUCUCUCCUCUGUGGCCACAUGGCCUUCCCUGGGUGUCGAGUCUCUCUCUGCCCUCUUUUCUAAGGAUACUCCUGAUGAGAUUUAGGGCCCACUCAGAUAAUCCACAAUAAUCUUUCCUUGUCUCUUCUGCAGAGACCUUUUUCACAGUUUCCAGGGGGUAGGGUGUGCUAAUUGGGGACCAUAGUCCAGCCCACUACGUACUAAAGGUUUGGAGAGGCAGUACUUCAACAUUGAAAGCUGGAACUUGGGGUAAGAGUGCAAUCUUGGAAUUGCAUUUCUAAACAAAUGGAGUUGGGCUAGGAAUAUUCCUAGCUGUCUGACCACAGGCCUGUUUCUUGGUUAUCAGACCUUAAUUUGUUUAUCCACAAAGUGGGGAUAAUGCCACGCUCAUUCUCAGGACUGUUGCUUGGGUUUGAUGAGAUCACAUGUGCAAAGUAUUUGGGACCGUGCCUGGCAUAUAUGAAGACCAGAUAGAGGUCAGUUCCCUUUCUUCUCCUUGGCUGGUACCUAAGGGAUUGGAGAGGUCCCCUUGUGUCACUCUCCAGAGCUGACCCAGCUUGUCUAGCGGUGUCUCAUGUCAACCAUAGCCUGGGAUCUUCUGCAGGGAGGCUUACAUAGAAAAACGGAACAUGUGAUGAUUGCAAGCCCACCCAGGGUAUCCAGGAGACCUCCGAGUGAGGAGGGAGGGCCAGGCAUGUGCUGAGAAGUUGUAGGAAGCCCUGCCUGCUGCUCUCUCUGCUAAUGAGCCGCAGAGCCUGCAGCACUGACAGGUUCAUCCCAGGGACUCUGGAGUUCUCUGCAGGGACUGAGCCGUGAAUCCGCCUGCGUGCUGAGCUUGUCUUUCCGCUCUCAUCUUUCCAUGGCAACCGGGGAAAGGGGGCCAGGAUGUGGCAAUCUCCACAGGAGAAGCGUGGGCGCGGCUGUCUGUAGGCAGCAGUGCUGGAAGGAGAGGAGGAACAGCAGCCCUGAUUCCAGGCCAGCGCUUGAUACAAGCCCAUCAUGGUCACAUGGGAGCUCCUGAAAUACCCUGCAUCCUGUCUCCCUCUGGUCUGCCUGAUGUUGCAGAAGAGGAAACAAACAGAGGGGCAAAGUGACUUGGUGAAUGGUGCACAGCUGGUUAAUAGGAGAUGGGAGGUGGCAUUGAAAUCUGGGGCUUCUGACUGGCGGGUGACUCGCCGUCAGGGAGCACUUUUAUGUGCUUUAAGGGGGUCCUCCUGCACCACUGGUUUGAAUUCAGGUCAGAUUUACUGAGGGGCCUUGUUGAAACUACAGGGCAGGCCCCAUCAUCGAUCUCACCCUGAGAAAAGAGUAAGGGCUCCAUACAAUGUUAGGAAACCCAGGACUUCUAAGGACUUCUGCCCCGCCUAAUUCAUUUAGGGGUCCAUCAGUAAAUGUUCCACUGAGAACUUAUUAGAAUGUGCAGAUGGUCUGUUCAAAGAGCAUUACAUGUACUCCUCAUGGAGCAAUCUUUGUUACAAGAAGGGAUUGGAAUGAGAGGGGAAAGAAUAAUCGAAAUGGGGAUUGGAGGGCCCCAGAGUGGUGACUCUGAGGUCCGGGCUCCAUCCUGCUGGCCGGUCCCCCCUCGCUAUGGUCACUCAAGGCUCAUAAAUCACCACUGGGAGCUCAGCGUCCCUCAUGGUGACUCUCCUGUGACUGAAUGGCCUUCAUGUGCUCAAAGGCUACUUUUGUUGACUCCCAAAUUGGGUUGUUGCACUUUCCACCUCCAUUCCUAGUUCUACUCAUCUGGGCUCCGCAGGAAAAUGCUUCUUCUCUGACCCGACAGCAACCAUGGAUACGUGGAGACACCUCACACUUCACCCUGUGAGCCAGUCUCACCCACCUCAUUCUCAGAAUGGGGCAGACCCGGUUCCGCUCUCCCCUUGGGGCUGGGUGCCGGGGACCUGUGGGAAGGUCUGGGUGCUUGGGCCUGUUCUGCUCACCUCUCAGGCACAAGAGAGCCCAGAAGUGUUACUGGUGGCUGGACCAAGAGCUCAGGUGAAUGUUACCCAUGCCGGAGGUGGCCUCCAGGGAUAAAAUGUAGGCCUUAUUGAGGAAAAAGACAACCCCAGAUGUGGGAUGUUAUGACAAGAGGAGAUUCCUGAUCUGCAGACACAGAGUAUGGAGUCUCCUCAUGGGGACCAACCUCGGGACAUCUUUGCCUCUCUCUCAGCCAACUCAGGAUUCAUCCUGCGAUGUUUUUGAGAAGGGACUAGUUAGUUGUGAGGCAGCAUCUUCACGGCUGGCCAUCUUUAUUUUUAGAAGGUUAUAUUUAAUAUGCAGCUGAAAUCUGCUUGAAAUCUGAGCAUUCCAGGGGAGCCUCUCCAGGCCCGGGAGCUGCCCCAGGACCAGAGGCAUCAGACCAGACCCAUCUGCGUGUCUGCAGGGUCCCAUCGAGGCUCAGCGUAUGGGAGCUGCAGUGUAUGGGAGCAGGGACAGAGGACAACGCGGCGCGUGUGCUGGGCGUCUCCUGCGAUGCAGCGAUACGCGGUUAAGUGAAGACAUUGUCAAGUGCCUGUGGCUGCCCCUGCCUCCUGGUGACAUCUGUUCCCUUGUGAGCAGCGGAGCUCUCGGGGCGCGUUCCCUUCCUGCACGGCGCCCUACUAGGCUGUGCUGUGGAUGGAUUGACUUUACUGGAGGUGGGUCUGCUGGUGAGUUGGUGGUCUUGGGGGACACUUGAGAACAUCUGAUUUGUCCAAGAUGGACCCCUCCUGCCCUUGGCUGAUGGAGUGGAGCCUCCACUUCUGGUUAGCUUUGGGAGGAGCCCGCGGGGGUUGCAGGACAGAAGGCUAUUCAGUGUGCAGUUUGACCCGUUCCUGUCUUUUCCCGCCCGAGCCUCACACUAGCCAUCCACUCUGUGUUUCAG
rnacentral:lncRNA from 10 species